AGACCAGACUCCUACGGGAGGCAGCAGUGAGGAAUAUUGGUCAAUGGGCGCGAGCCUGAACCAGCCAAGUAGCGUGAAGGAUGACUGCCCUACGGGCUGAAAACUUCUUUUAUAAAGGAAUAAAGUGAGGCACGUGUGCCUUUUUGUAUGUACUUUAUGAAUAAGGAUCGGCUAAUUCCGUGCCAGCAGCCGCGGUAAUACGGAGGAUCCGAGCGUUUUCCGGAUUUAUUGGGUUUAAAGGGAGCGUAGAGGGGUUUUUAAGUCAGUUGUGAAAGUUUGCGGCUCAACCGUAAAAUUGCAAUUGAUACUGGCAGUCUUGAGUACAGUUGAGGUAAGCGGAAUUCGUGGUGUAGCGGUGAAAUGCUUAGAUAUCACGAAGAACUCCGAUUGCGAAGGCAGCUUACUAAACUUCCACUGACAUUGAAGCUCGAAAGUGUGGGUAUCAAACAGGAUUAGAUACCCUCGUAA
rnacentral:rRNA from 1 species